rnacentral:rRNA from 1 species
CCUACGGGAGGCAGCAGUGGGGAAUAUUGCACAAUGGGGGAAACCCUGAUGCAGCGACGCCGCGUGAGUGAAGAAGUAUUUCGGUAUGUAAAGCUCUAUCAGCAGGGAAGUAACCCACCCUCCGGGGUGGCUGACGGUUCCUGACUAAGAAGCCCCGGCUAACUACGUGCCAGCAGCCGCGGUAAUACGUAGGGGGCAAGCGUUAUCCGGCUUUACUGGGUGUAAAGGGGGCGUAGGUGGGAAGUCAAGUCAGAUGUGAAAACCCGGGGCCCAACCCCGGGAGUGCAUUUGAAACUGUCUGGCUAGAGUGCAGGAGAGGUAAGUGGAAUGCGUAGUGUAGCGGUGAAAUGCAUAGAUAUGAGGAGGAACACCAGUUGCGAAGGCGGCUUACUGGACUGUAACUGACACUGAGGCACGAAAGCGUGGGGAUCAAACAGGAUUAGAUACCCCUGUAGUC